rnacentral:rRNA from 1 species
UACGUAGGGGGCAAGCGUUGUCCGGAAUCAUUGGGCGUAAAGAGCGCGUAGGCGGUCCGGUAAGUCCGCUCUGAAAGCCCGGGGCUCAACCCCGGGAGGCGGGCGGAUACUGUCGGGCUAGAGUCGGGAAGAGGCGAGUGGAAUUCCUGGUGUAGCGGUGAAAUGCGCAGAUAUCAGGAGGAACACCGAUGGCGAAGGCAGCUCGCUGGGACGGUACUGACGCUGAGGCGCGAAAGCGUGGGGAGCAAACAGG